AACCUUCGAGCGGAGCCGCCGACGACAUUGAGAGAAACCGCUUGUCUGACGCCGUGGAGAUGGUGGUGAACUAGGAGGAUUUCCGUCUGCACCGCUUCCCUCGCUACUGACAACAAUAAGAGAGCUGGAGAGGGAGGGAGCGGUGGAAAGGGAAGGGCCAAGAAGGUGGCUUGGUGGCUUGGCUUGGAGCCAAUAAUGGUGGGUGUGUAAAAGGGUGGGUAAUUAUGUAUGUAUAAAAUUAUAAAUUAUAAUUGGAGUUAGCAGCUAGAGAUUCAUGAAAUUUCAAAUUUUUUAAAAAAUUAAUUAUAUUUAGAUUA